AUACGGAGGGUGCAAGCGUUGUUCGGAAUUAUUGGGCGUAAAGCGCGCGCAGGCGGCUUGCCAAGUCUGAUGUGAAAGCCCGGGGCUCAACCUCGGAACUGCAUUGGAAACUGGUAGGCUUGAGUAUGAGAGGGGUUUGUGGAAUUCCUGGUGUAGGGGUGAAAUCCGUAGAUAUCAGGAGGAACACCGGUGGCGAAGGCGACAAACUGGAUCAUUACUGACGCUGAGGUGCGAAAGCGUGGGUAGCAAACGGGAUUAGAAACCCCAGUAGUCC
rnacentral:rRNA from 1 species